GUCCUCAGGCAGAAGUAGGUACUACUUUAGAUUCCUAGAGGUCAAGAAGCACCUUCCAUAGCGUAAAGUGCAGGAAGAGUAUCGUCCUUGACUGAUCUGCUUUGCCCCCACUUGGGGAUGAUAGAAUCUUUUCAGACUGCAAGGAAAAGCCUUCAGAGCUGUCACACUUCUUUGUCCCUGGGAGACACUGACUCUGUAUGUGGAGCCUGGCCUAUGUCUCUGCGAUUGUCCCGGUCUGGUGAUGCCAUCCUUCGUCUCUACAAAGGCAGAGAUGAUCUGCUGUGGAAUUUUGCCUAUAGACCAGAUGGGGGACCAUGUUCCACUAUCUCUCUAAUAUCCUUUGCUCGGGAUUUGGAUAUUAUGAUCGUAGAUUCACACACCUUCCCAUCUGGAUCUGGUCUGUAAAUAAUCUGAAUUGAUUCAAGUCUCUCUACUUAAAUUUAAUAUUAUUCCUAAAUAUGCUUUCCAUGCAGGAAGUUCUUUUUGGCUCUUUCCCUACACAGACUAGUCCUAACCUUGUCACUGUCUGUCACCACACCCUUCACAAGUUCCUUUAAAUGUAGCAUUCUCUUACUUGUGAAUUAUCUUGGCCAGUCCGUCUUACAGAACAAUAAAAAUUCUUCCUCCCGGAUAUGUACUUUCUCUCCCCUAAAGUAAUUCAUAGACUAUAUAUCAACUCCAGCUUUCCCACACACAACGUUGUCUUUUACCUGGUGAACGCACUAGCAUGCUGUAAGACAGUGGUCAGGCUGCCAGUGGGCUGUGCACACUGCACACACUGCUUAUGCUGACAAAUGAUGUUUCAUUGUUAUUGUGGUCCCCCGUCUGCCUGUAUCCACCUGUUGUCUCUUGUCUCUGACAGAAUGUACCCCUGUUCACACAUUAUUGUAAUAAUUUUUGUACAGAGUAUGCCUUGUAAGGUAUCGUUUGAAAACUCAUAAUUUUCAGAUCAUUAUUGUCCUGGUAAAAUAUGUUCGUGGCAACACUGUAUGUGAAGUUAUAAGAGUCCACUGUAUGGUGUUAACAACGCAUGUUCUAAAUCCCAGAGCCCUGUCCAACCUGAGGUUGGCAAACAGGUCUGCCGUAAACAAAAAAAAGUGCACUCUGCUUAAUUUGCAUUUAAGCAGUAAACAGAGUCAUCAAGCAGAAAGGGAAACAAAGAAAGCGCAAACAGGUGAGGGGGAAAAGCAGCAGGGAACAUUCUUCCAUAUAGAUUCUUUGUCUCCUGGUGUCCAGCUGGGAAUGUUUUUCAGGAGAGGGACUGAAACUAUAAAAUGGAGGGACAAACACCCCAAGGCCCCCCUCUCUCUCUCCCUGCCCAUCGCAUUCAAUGCGCCUGAAGUGACCAAGGAAGAAAGCAUUGGACUCUGGAGAAGGACCCCUCACCUAUGGGGUUGGGUGAGUCAGACUGCAGAAAGCAUCUGGUGAGAAAUGUUGCUUGAAUGUGAUAUAGUUUAAGUUAUGUGUUAAUAAAUGUUUUAUCUUUAUUUUUCUUCUAAUCAUUUCUGACUUUUAUGCCUCAUUACAUGCACUCUCGUAAAAUCUCUUUGUAGUUAAUAAACUUGUUUUAUCUAAUCCAGUAUGUUUAAAUUGAAGUGUCUGGGAAACUCUAUUUGGGAUGGCAAGUUUUGUGCAUAUUAUUCUAUUAAAGGAAUAACAGAUUUAAUGUAACUUGUGUUUUCCAGGAGAGGACUGGGCAGUACAGGACAUACAUUUCUGGGGGGAAAUCUAAUACUUGGGGUGCGUUGGGGUCACUCUGCAGUAUAACCGAGACUGGUGAGAGUCAGAAUGUAACUCAGGAGUGGCUGGCAAGCUGCAAUUACACACAGACACUCAAGCUGUGUCUUUCAGGCUCCAUGGUUGGCAACAGCAAUGUUCUAUGAUAUCAGGCACGGGGUGAAACAUACUGGAAAUUCAUACAUCCUCCUGGGAGUGAGUGCAGAUGAAAAAUGCCUAGGAAAAUGUAGAAUUUGAUGGUCAAGAUGUAAUCAGACCACUUGGACACUUGCAUUCAUGAAGGAAUAUGGCAUAUCCCAUGUGAAAAUGCAAAUGAAUAAUUUGCAAUUUCAGUUUUAUUGUUUAAGAAAAGAGGUCAUGUACAACUGAAAAAUACAAGUCUUUAAAAUCUCAUUAUAAUGCUCCUUAAGCCACAUUGGAAAAUCUUGAAUUGUUAAAUGAUUUAUUACUGCUUUUUUGCCAGAACAGCUUAUAAUCACAGCAACAAAGUAAAUUGUACAGAAUACCCAGAGAUGCCAGACAUUGCCCUUUCAUAUCACCCUGACUCCCGCCCCCUUAUCCUGACACCAAUUCUUCUUGGGUUAAAAUAGUCUUGAUAGUUAUUGCUGUUAGAACACAGGCAUAUCUAAUAGGUCACAUGUCUUUAUAAGCAGUCAUAGUGGGAGGGGGAAUUCACUACUCCAUUAACUAGAACAAAGUUUUAAAUAGCUACUCUUCGUAAUAGCUUUACAAAAAAAAGUGAUUUUCCCAUUCUCAGGAGCUGCUGAGAACAGACAAUAAACAAGAUCAGGUCUGUGUCUUCACGCUUUCUUUCUCGGUGUCCUUUGCACAUGGAAUACCCUCCUCUAAAGCCACCACCUUCUCUUCACUCAAGCCAGUCCACAAGACUUGUUUCUACCAUGAUGCCUAGUGGAAAUUGCUAGCGGCUGGGGAGAGGUCCAAUGGGGUUUGCUCAUAUUUACUCAUUUUUUUAAAAAAGCUUUUAAACUACUUGGGACUAUCAAAGUAUGCCCAUGCUGUAGCCAGCCUAUGGAAGAGUGUGAUCUUAGCAUUACCCACUUUCCCCUUCCCUUCUGGUAUUUGUUACACUGACUUGUAGUGUCAGGUCUUAGGUCACAUUGUACAUUCUGCAGAGCAGGGACUGUACUGCAACUUCCUGUCUGCACAAUGUCCGGCACAAACAACAGGCCACCACCUGAGGUCUUCGGCUAUUCGUACCAUGGUAAUGCCCAAAGUGCAUGCUGUUGGCUUGGAGAAUUAGCAGAUUCUCUGGGGAAGGAUGGGGUUGGGUUUUGGUACUAAUAAUGCCAACGAUGUAUGAUUGUGUUUUAUCCCAUGGGGAGGGAUACCACAGCUCCUCCAGGAACUAA